AGGAGCAGGACAGGGGUAUUUGUGUUUGAGGUGGAUCCUGGACUGACUUAAAUUCAAAAAGUGAUCUUGUGCUUAAAAAGGCUGGAGACCUCUGAUACAGGGCCUAAUAUGUGCAAGAGAACAUGGUUUUAGAAUACCAAGUACUAUUAGAAGAAUACUGUCAGUGCUAAAUUUAUUUUGUAACCUUCUUACAUGCAAAGCGCUCAGACCAUAUUGAACUGUGUUGUUCUUUUUGAGACCAUGGCAGGCCUGCAUUACUAGAAUCUUCCCUUUACCUGACCUCUUCAAGACUGGCUUCCCACUGCUUAUUGCUUCCUCAGAAUUUUAGUGCAGUUAGAAGCUUUUAUGCACUGCUGCAGAUUCCCGGCCUAUGCAAUCCAACUCUUACGUUUCCAUCCAUUUCUUACUCCACAUGUUUGUUUACACUUUAUCUUAAACUUUGGCAUCACGAUUAUAUUUUUUCUUAAUGUGGGUACUUAUUGUGAGGAGCUAUAAAAAGAAAAUUCAGAAUGCUCAGAACUAAUGUCAACCAACCUGGAAGUAACUGUGUCUCAUGAGGACUUAGCGGUUGGACUGCGUGAGUAGGCUUACUGCAGCUAUAAAAUUGUAAACCAGACUCAUGUUUCACAUAUGUUCAUCAGAUGAGAUUUUGGCCUGUACGGAUGGGAAAAGGCCGAAGAUCAUUGAAUGAUCUUCCAUGUAUUGUAUGGAGCUAGAAAUGAAAGUCAUUCAAGCCAAGUCAUUGGAACCAAGAAUAUUGAAUAAAUGAAGCCUUUAGUAAUUGGUCUCUGAAGUAACUUUGUUUGUUCUUUCACCUUGGUAAGGACCCCUGUUUCAUUUAAUACUCAGAAGGUACCUGCCCUGGAGAUGAAUUAGGGUUAUGUGGUAAAAGGCUGUUUCCUUGAACCCUGCCUCGUUUGCUGCAGAAGCUGGAAGGUGUGUAGUGAUUAAGGCAGGGGACUGCAGGAAGAGAGGGGUGAUAUCAUGGUUAAGGUAGUUUAAUGCUGCCUUGGGUACUAUAAUCUGUCCCUACCUUUGCCAGCAUUGUCACUGGACACUUGAUGUUGGGAAAGUAACUGAGUGCCUGACUUGAUAUGCAGGGGUCAGGCUUGAUAUGUACACUCUAUUCUGCUGCAACUGGAAUCAAUGGGAGCUGAGCUUAGAAUGGCCUAAAUUAGGGUUGGGCGAUAAGUGGCUCAUGGGCUGGAUGUGGUUCACAAGAGUUUUAUGUGCACAUCUGCAGGUACGACCACUUGCUGCUCCUGUGGGCUAUGGAUCGCCAUUCCCAACCAAUGGGAGCUGCAAACAGCUGGACCAGUGGACGUGCAGGUGAAAGUCCUUAUGGAGAAAGAUGAUGGACAAGGCCAUGGCUGUUCCAGAUACCCUGAGCUUCUCAAGAGGUGGAAAAAUUGUCCAUUUUGAUAACCUGUCAGUAAAUGUUCAAAGACAGUCACAAGAGGAGCAAGAUAAACACUUUAGCAUGGCAGAUCCAAUACAGACUACUUGAUCCUUCCUGGAUUUGAUGAAUCUGGUUACGAUCUGACGUUACCUGAAAGAAGCAAUCUUGGGAGACUUUGUGCUGCAUGUAUCCGGGCUGCAGGUUCCUUUAUGACUGAGAGAUCCUGGCAGUCUGCCCAGUAUGAGGAUGGAAACCACAAAGAACUUUGCUGACUCUUUCUGUGCCAUCAGAACAACUCAGCACCAUGCACAUCAGUUAGUACUAAAAGAGCGGCUCUGUUUGUUUUCAUUGAAUCUUUAUUGGAAACUUCAACAUGCACCAUAAUGCAGUUUCUUUUUUAAAAACACUUAACAGAGCAAGAAACAAGGUGUGGGAAGGACAGAAAUAUACUUGUCAAUUUUCCUAAGUCAGCCUUUCUGAGAUUUAAAUCCAAUUCACAGCUAGUUACAAAGUCUGACCUUUUUUGUCCUUUUCUUUCAGAGAGAAAAUGGCUUUUCAAUUCUGCCAGAAUCCUAGUUAUUGUCUCAGACCAGUGGAGUGGAAAUUUGAAUUUGAUUAUUUAUAUUCUAAAUCAUCUGUGUAAAUGCAUAUUGUAUUAUCUAUAACUUUUUUUAAAGUUUCCAACUCCAUCAUGAUAUAGAGGGAAUAAGAUAUAUACUCCCAACAUACAAAGGUGUAUAUGGGUGGGGCAAAGGGGUUGUGUGAGUGUAUCUAUGCCAUAGCUUCUUGCUAAAUGGGAAAUUGGAUGUUAGCGAGAGACAGCAUGCAAAGCGGCCUAAUAAAAGAUAUAACAUUUGGCGAGAGAAAACAGGCUGUUUUAUAAAGGGGUUCAGCACCUUUUAAUCUGCAUGACAAUGAUCUCGUCUGAGCUUUCCCUUGACCAUGCUGAGUUUGUGUCAGUGUCAAAAGCACUUGCAGACACAGUGAAGUGCAUUUCCGCUGUGGGCCCCAAUACAUCUGCAGACCCCUACCAUCUGCACUCAUUGUAUGCUCUGCAACCUCACCAAGCAUGCAUGGCUAAGCUAACAACUUCACACUCUGUGCUAAAUCACAUGUGUUGGCUUUAAAGGAGACGAUGGUACAAAUGGCCCUUUUGAAGAGCAACUUUUUAAAAACUGAAUUUUCUUUACAGCUGGUGACUCGAGCUGAUGGCCUGGCAGAAAUAGAUCACUUUUAAAUGGAACCUGUUUAGGAAUGGGCAAAAAAUGUGUCUACACAGCAAAAUUUGAAUCACUACUGAGCACGACUGCUGGUAAUUGAUUUGGCUGAGCUGCUACUGAGCAUGAUGUUGCUAACUACUGUAUCUCCUUUGGUCUGAAGAUGCCACUUGUGUAAUGAGAGAAGAGCCAAGUACAAGGUUAUCCAAUUUACCUGCCUAAAAGGUAAGUCCUGGUGAAAAUGACAGAGGGGGGGCUGCCUUCUGUGUGGCUAGUUCCUUGGAUAAAGAAAGAUGUUGGGAGGAUAUUCGUGUGGGGUUUGUCUUCUUCAUUGUUUUACCACAGCUUAGUCCACGGUUUUCUUUGAAACAGUAAGGAGCCAGAGAUGGGCCAUGUGGCAGCAGGCACUAGUGAGCAAGAAAUGAAUCUCCACUCUGCAGCCCCUCACAAUCACCACUGCUUGCACCCAGUACUUGGGGGAAAGUCUAUAUAUUCGCUGGUGGGGAGACAGAACGGAGAACUACUGCGUUGGCCUUUGCUGAAUCCAGAACUGGGUCUAACUUGACAUUAUCCUUUAAAGUGAGCCCUGGUGGCUGUGCUCUGUUUCAGCCAUGUAGGUCUCCUAACUUGCAGAGCUAAACCAGAACCUGGCUCAGAACACAGCACAUGGAGGAGAAGUGUAGCCUUAGAUCUGAACUACACAGCCGGCAAACGAGCAGCACAGCCAGAACUCUCUGCUUCGAUGCCACAAGAAACACUUGUUAAAUUGAAGCAGGGUUUUCCGGAGACCAGGUCCUUGCUGAGCUGGAUGGCCUCCUGUGUUGCUCGCAAAAUAAGGAGGAGCAGCAGCAGGUCAGGUCAGUGAAGGAGGAGCUACUUUUCAAAAUUAACUUAAAAGCAAUAUCUAAAAACCUGGGAAGGCUUUGAUCUUUCUAAAUAUUCCCUUUGUUCUAUCGUUCGACAGUUCGUGUGUGCUUCAAAGGUAAGGUAACAAUCCACCCUCUGUAGUCUUCCCUAAGCUGUGAUCAUAAACACAUCCCUGAAAUACAGUUUAAAUAACUGAGCCCUACAAACUUAGUCAAGUAAUGAAGAUCUUUCCACUGUUCUUCUUGUUAAGAAUAAUAAAGUUCUGUCCUCAUGGUUCUUCCUCCCUAUGAUGUAGUAUUGACUGUUCAAAGGCGUACUGUGAAGUUUCCAUAAAUAACAACUAAGUAGUGUUGCCUCCUCUAGCCAGAGACAGCACUGGCUUGGCCUACCUCAUGCUGCCCUCUUACUUAAUGGUAACAGUGCAGCAUAUGGGGGAGAGAAUAACCCCUCUGCUUUGGAGUCUUCUCCCUUAAGAAAAUCAUAAUGGCUCGCUCAGCCUGGGACUCUCUGGGGAAUGCUAGUUAAACCCAAUGAGAAAGCACAGGACUGCAGAAAGCACCCAAAUGCAUGGGACUGCAGAUGAGGGCACCUGCCACAUUCCCUGUGCAUGAAAUUCAGCCACAGAGCAGGGGACCAGCACAAGGCCUAUCUUUAAGCACUCUUUUGAGGACCUACGUGAUGUAUGAGUGCCCCUCUGCACAGGGAUGAACAUCUCCCCAUAUACCAUAGGCAAAGCACGUAACCAUUCUGUGAAAUCAGUGUGGGAAGUUGUUUGUGGGAUCACAUAUAGGAAGGUGAACACUAGUAAAGGAACUGGUGAUUUCCGUAAUCAGGGAGACAGCUUGGCCUAGUGGUUUUGACAUUGAACUAGGCCUCAGGAGCUCUGGGUUGGGUUCCCAGCACUGUCACUGGAUGAGCGUGGCCGAGUCCUUUCUCUGCACCUCAUUGUCCCCAUCUGUUACGCAGUGAUGUGCCUGACCUCCUUUGUAAAGCGCUUUGAUCUCCUGUACUGCAGGAGAGCGUCAGUAACCACUGUUGUUUUCAAACGAAAGAUGCCAGUGAAAUGUGUGGUGUUUUAUUAUUUUUUGAUUGAAAUACAAGAUUUAAUGAAAAGUUUCUAUUUCCCACGGUUGUUCUUUCCUCUCUGAGGAAGAAAACAAGCCAAACAAAGCAGCCUCACCAGUGUUAGAUAAGAGGGGUUUAGCGGGAAAUGCUGGUAAGAAAUGAAGGAAAUUAAUAGGCAGCAAUAAUUACACUGUAAGGCGCCCAAUUUGUAUUUCAAUAUGUCAUUUACAUAAUAACAAAGCUGAACCAUUUGGUAGCUAAUGACACAGGCUGAUCUCAAGGAUUUGUUUUCUUGCAAGUAAGUUCCUUUCAAUGGAAGCACUUUGAUGUCUGUCAGCAACACAUGCUCUUUUUGAGACAGUCUCUAUUUAGUUAUUGACACUGUGUCCAAGGACUGUUCCUCCCGCUUCUCAUGCUUAGAUAUUGACAAUGUGCCUAAGAGCUCUCUUCCCCUCCUUCCUCUCCUCUCUCUUCUCUGUUUCCAAGGCCAAGCUUGUGAGUCAAUAAUGGUAACUGGGCCAGGAAGGUGAAAGAGUCCAGACAUCUUCCUUGGACCCAGUCCUGUUUUGUGCUAUUAAUGAAAACGGUGGAUUUCUCAGCCCCUGGCCAAUGUGCCCUAUAAGCUGAGCCUUUGGGUGGCCACCUAGCAGCGAUUCAAAUGCCUCCCAGCUGAGUAGCAAAGUACACAUAGCCAGAAGCAUGUGUUUUUAAUCUGCACAUGCCUUAGUGCACAUAACAAAAUUUAUUCUGCACAUGGAUGGAAAAAUUUAGAGGUAACAUUGCCUCUGGCCUCUCUGGACCCUGUGUGGCAAUGUUAUUUCAUAGGUGCAGCAUCUGUGCCUUUCACAGCUCUGCCACUGACUCAUCUGCCAUGCAACAAGUAAAAAUCAUGACAUAUCUGGGCCUCUGUUUCCCCAUCUGUAGAAUGGGGAUAUUUGCCUUGGUAAAUCACUUUUUUGCAUAAAUGUACUCUGAGCAUUGGGUGCUGUUGUUAUUGGCCCAAAUCCUGAAGUGCUUUCUUACUUUGUGUUCAGUGCUUACUCAGGAAUAGUUCCCUUUGAUUUGAAUCGGAGUUAGUAAGAAUGACUGCCUUAUUUACACUGUUACUUGCUCACUGUAUAGUCAACAAGGCAAGUACAUAGCUUAAAUAACACUUGCACUUUAAAGGGGUUUUUAAAAAUUGAUAGAGGCUGAUGAAAAUGUGGGGAGACAGGUUUCUUCCUGCAUAUCUGGUGGGGAUACCCAUUCUUAGUUCUUGCAGCUCAGCAAUAACUCUCUUCCAAAGAUACUUGCACUAGUUCUUAAAGAAUUAGGCAUUGAGGGAACUGAAUUCCCAGCUCAUGAUGGCUUCAAUAUCCCACUGAAUACAAAAAGAAUAAUGGAUGUUGAAACUUUGAUGACCAAAAUACAAGACAUGGGAGUCCUGGAGCACCUGACACACUUGGAAGGAAAGCAUGAGGCAAACAGUCUCGAUGACUGGCUCCCUUUCAGAGAUUAUCCAACCAAGCAAAGCUUCAACUCCCCAGAAAGACUUGGAGCCAAACUGUGAUCUCAUUCACAUUGGUGUAAAUCAGGAGUAACUCCAGAGCAGACUCUGACCCUUAGUGCUGCCUUCUACUAUGAGACAUUUCAUUCCUAAACUAUUGUUACAAUUAAGGAAACAUGCCCCCAUUAUUUUCCUGAAGCCUUUAUCCUUUGGAAAUCCUUUUAAUUGUUCUUUGGUUGAUUUGAUGUUGUAUCUUUGUUGAAUUCCUAUUAACCUUAUAAAAUGAGCUUGCAAAAAAAAUGCAGAGCAGAGAGAUGGAUAAGCUCUCGGGGGAGGGAACUCUCUUUGCAUGUGUACAGUGUCUGGCAUAAAAGGGACUUUGAGCAUAGUGGGAGAUUUCUAUGACCUACAGUUAGGGAUGUUAAAAAGCAUUUAAUUAGGUAAACCUGUAACUGCUGAAGAUUUCAGCAGAUAUGGGGUAGGGGGAGGUGACAGGCGGGAGCUGGUGCACGCUGGCUUCUGCAUGUCCUCCCCAACUCUGAUGCCUCUAUUAGAGGCAGCAGCGCAUGAGGGCAGGUGCUCUGUGGGAGAAAGUGCACGAGGGGUGCUGGAGUAAAAGCUGGCUCCCCACGUGCACCGGUUUCCGCCUGCCCCACUGCGCUGCUGCCUCUGAUAAAGAGGCAGCAGCGUGCAUGGGGAGGAGGGUGCAUGUAACCAUACAUGUUAACUGAUGAGCCUAGACUCAUCAGUUAGCCAUGUAAACAGUUACACUUUCACAUCUCCUAAUUACAGUACAGAAAUAUGAAACAGAACUAAUGGAUAAACUGUCAGGUGAAGAUGCUUCUCACAUUAAAUGUGCUCCUGCCAUAAAUUCAACCCACCAAUAAAACCCUGCCACAACUAGAAGAGCAGAACACACAUGGACAUCAAGAUGAGACCGUCUGGAUUAGUUAAACUGCAUGCAUACAAUUGAAGGGGAAAUCUACAGAUUUUAGUGGUUUUUCUGUUUUGGGGUUUUAUUUUUUGUUUUUUUACAACCCUUGUACCAGGAGUUCACUUGCCUAAUUUGAGAUUUCUUAUGACAAUCAGCACAAACUAGUGGGAGACCCAUUUUGAUUUUUGUUUGAUCAGCCUGAAUACAGACCAAAUACAGCUCCUGAACAGGUUCCAAAUAGUAUAAGCAGCAUGUGCAGUAAGGGAUGUUUGUUAAACACUGUCCAGUGCUAACACACCAAUCCAGUUUUGUCCAUAAUGUUAACAGCAGAGGAUUGCUGGGAUCUUUUAAGUACAUUGUCUUUUGAGAAAACUGCUGUCAUUUGUUUUUCUUCUCAUCAUGGCUAGCUACCUCAGAGAGCAACAAAGUCCAGUCUGCCUCAUAUUAGGGACUGAAAGGAUGAGUGAGUCAGUUAAGACUUGUAUGUGGAUUCUCAUUUAUGAGAGGUCAAUGUGGAGAAAAAAAAUACCUUGGUCUGAAUUCACCACUCAUUCAGUGCAAUAACACCAAAGAGUAAUGUGCCUCCUUGAUACUGACUCCCUCUUUGACCUGUGAUGUCAUUUCACUUUCUUGCCUCAGUUGUUCCAUCUGUACAUUGGGCAGAAUAAUAAUUCCAACCCCCUCAAGCUAUUGUGAGGAUUAGUUAUUUAAAGGUUGUAAAUGCUUUGAAGGUAAAACAUUCUGUACAAGAGUUAAAUGUUAGUUGUGGAAACGUUUAGAAAAUGAAAGCAUUGUUAGUACAAUAUUUACAAAUCUUAAUAGUUCUCUCUCUUCCCUUUUCCUCAGGGGUCAGGAAGCAUUGUUCAAACUCUAUUGUAAUCUGUAUAAAUCCAGGUCUGUUGCUCUUACUUGUAUGAGUUACGCCUUUAAAACCACUGGGAUUAUAUGUGUCUAAGGGGUGUGGUUUCAGACCUAGCACUGUACAUAAAAAGAGCUGGGUUAAUCACUGCAGCAGCUUCCUUUACAAUCCUAAAGGAAAUUUGGUUUAAUGGGGUUGGCACAGUCUCAGUCAUCAUGGAACUGCAACCAGAGUUACCAUAUCAAAACACAGGGGAACGAGAGGCCAUUUGAUAUUUAAUCACGUGGGGCAGUCAGACAAAAUCGGAAGUGGCUUAGGAAAUGAUUAUCCAUUGCUGGGGUAUAAGCCAUUCCUUCCACACACUUUCUCCAGAACACAACCUCAUCAAUGUUCCAGAUGAUUUAGCUGUGCAUUGUAAAGCCUCCAGAAUGUCUCUUGUAACCCCUUUGCUGUAGGCUCUUCAGUCCACUUCACCUGUUGCUUGUGCUCCCUGGGAACCAACUGAAAUUGGUUAUUUGGAUCCAUGGAAGCCCACGGAAGGUUAGACUGAAGGAUGGGUCAGUUACAUCUUGUACCACUCAGUAUUUAUAUUGUGGUUUAGGCAAAGUUUCAGUACACCAGGCACAGGAUAGUACAUAAAGCAGGAAAACUAAUCUACAUUGCAAUAAAAAUUCAAAAAUCCACUGCAAGGGGUUUCAGGGAUUGCUACAGUUUGGAAGAAAGUGUCAGUUCAAAUUUAUCAAUGCCCAAUCAUAUUUUAAGGGGCAAAUUCAGAGCUAAUGCUAGCUUAUAUUACUCACCUGAGCAAGUUGUUUUCACUCUGACAACUCAGAUGAGUAAGGCAACUGGACUGGCCCUAAGGUAGUGUUGGAUACAGUGUGUGCUUUUUCUUCCUCCUUUUCUUGCUAAGGAAUUAAUUCUGCUACCAUUAGCAUUAGUGUGAAUGGCAGGUACAAAACUGAUAGCAUAAUUUGGCCCUUAAAUAUAUGGAUGCCACAAUGAUUGGACUUCGUAUAAGAGCUCAAGUACAUUGUGUGCAAAAUUGCUUGCUGAAAAUAGUCGGGGUUCUUCCUGCACUGAUAAUGCCAAAUGACCUUCUCUUUAUCCGCCAGCCCAGACUUGUUUUUAGACAGUGGCUCAAUCAAUGUAUUCCCAAGAGUGGUGUAAAAUUCACAUUUCAAUGGCUAGAGAACUAGAUUCUCCAUUUGGCCAAUUCCACCAGGGACAUGAUCUCCAGACUUCUGAUAUGUCAUUCUAUCUACCUAAAAAGAUAGCUGAUCCCAUCUGUGCCAUACGGAUCUACCCAGACUUGUUUGGAAUAACCAGCAGCUAAUUCAUCCACUGAAAAGAUAUAGCCGCCCACCUCCCAAUGGUGCAUUACAGCAUGAGGCUUCAGUGCUUUUCUUUUAAGGGUGGAAAUAGGCACAUCGUUAUUUAUUACCAGUAUUUCAGUACUGCCUAGGAACUCCAAUCAAGGAUCAGGUCCCAGGCAUGCUAGGCAUGGAAGGACUAGUAAUAAAGAUAACUAUACCUAAGUCCAGAGAGUACAAUCUACGUUGUCAGAAGGAACAAGACAAAUGGAGAUGAGGGAUUGUGAGAAUGAGGGGACCAUAAAAAGAAUGUAUCAUGAAAACAGAAGUCAGUUUGCCAUAUGCUUUAUCAGUGCCAGAUAGAGGUGGGUUUUUGGACAUCACAACAGAGGUAAGUUUCAAGGCAACAGGACAAAGGCCAGAACAAGAGCAUUGAACGUCCAUAUAGGCAAGAAUACCUGAGAAAUGUUAUGCAGGUUGAAGGGGCUUGAAUGUGGGCUAGGCAUGUGAUUAAAGGACCAUGUCCAAAAUGGCAUCCAGAUUAUGGCUCUGAGCGGUGUUUCCCCAUGAGCUGGGCACUUGUGUGGCCAGCUCAGGAGAGGUUCAAAUGCCACCCUGCUGAUUAGUAGAGCAACCACUGCUAGAUUUUUUUUUUGUUUCUAUUGCUAGUGCAUAUUCGCACAUGCCUUGG